rnacentral:tRNA from 1 species
CGCGGGAUGGAGCAGUCUGGUAGCUCGUUGGGCUCAUAACCCAAAGGUCGCAAGUUCAAAUCUUGCUCCCGCUA